AAUUCAGGUCACAGGGUGAUGAUGGAGCUGAGGUCCAAUAAUACUUUUCCCAGAGAUCUCUCGAAAAUGCUGAUAAUGAGGACUUUGUGUGGAUGCUCUCAUCGAACUGUCUGAUGAGAAUGCCGACUGGAAACUCAGCUUCCAGGAGUUCCUCAAGUGCCUCAACCCAUCUUUCAACCCUCCCGAGAAGAAGUGUGCCCUGGAGGAUGAAACGUAUGCAGAUGGAGCUGAGACCGAGGUAGACUGUAACCGUUGCGUCUGUGCCUGUGGAAACUGGGUCUGCACAGCCAUGACCUGCGACGG